rnacentral:rRNA from 1 species
CCUAGUAAGUACAAGUCACUAGCUUGUGCUGAUUACGUCCCUGCCCUUUGUACGCACCGCCCGUCGCUACUACCGAUUGAAUGGCUUAGUGAGGCCCUCGGAUUGGGGCUCGGAGAUUGGCAACAGUUUCUUGGUUUUGAAAAGUUGGUCAAACUUGGUCAUUUAGAGGAAGUAAAAGUCGUAACAAGGUUUCCGUAGGUGAACCUGCGGAAGGAUCAUUA